rnacentral:rRNA from 1 species
CCCGGAGGAACAGAAAUCAACCGAGAUUCCCUGAGUAGCGGCGAGCGAAAGGGGACUAGCCCUUAAGCCCCGAAUCACCCAUAGCAGAAGCUUCUGGAAAGGAGCGCCAUAGCGAGUGAUAGCCUCGUACGCGACAUGGCUGGUCAGGUGAAAACGAGUAGGGCGGGGCACGAGAAACCCUGUCUGAACAUGGGGGGACCAUCCUCCAAGGCUAAAUACUCCCUACCGACCGAUAGUGAACCAGUACCGUGAGGGAAAGGCGAAAAGAACCCCGUAGAGGGGAGUGAAAUAGAUCCUGAAACCGUAUGCGUACAAGCAGUCGGAGCCCGACAGGGUGACGGCGUACCUUUUUGUAUAAUGGGUCAGCGACUUACAUCUCAGCGGCAAGCUUAACCGAAGAGGGGAG